AUUGAACGCUGGCGGCAGGCCUAACACAUGCAAGUCGAGCGGAUGAGAAGAGCUUGCUCUUCGAUUCAGCGGCGGACGGGUGAGUAAUGCCUAGGAAUCUGCCUGAUAGUGGGGGACAACGUUUCGAAAGGAACGCUAAUACCGCAUACGUCCUACGGGAGAAAACAGGGGACCUUCGGGCCUUGCGCUAUCAGAUGAGC
rnacentral:rRNA from 1 species